GUAGGGAAUCUUCCGCAAUGGACGCAAGUCUGACGGAGCAACGCCGCGUGAGUGAAGAAGGGUUUCGGCUCGUAAAACUCUGUUGUUAAGGAAGAAUGACAGGCAGAGUAACUGCUGCCUGUGUGACGGUACUUAACCAGAAAGCCACGGCUAACUACGUGCCAGCAGCCGCGGUAAUACGUAGGUGGCAAGCGUUAUCCGGAAUUAUUGGGCGUAAAGCGCGCGUAGGCGGUUUUUUAAGUCUGAUGUGAAAGCCCCCGGCUCAACCGGGGAGGGUCAUUGGAAACUGGGGAACUUGAGUGCAGAAGAGGAGAGUGGAAUUCCAUGUGUAGCGGUGAAAUGCGCAGAGAUAUGGAGGAACACCAGUGGCGAAGGCGGCUCUCUGGUCUGUAACUGACGCUGAUGUGCGAAAGCGUGGGGAUCAAACAGGAUUAGAAACCCUAGUAGUCC
rnacentral:rRNA from 1 species